rnacentral:rRNA from 1 species
GAUGAACGCUAGCGACAGGCUUAACACAUGCAAGUCGAGGGGCAGCAUAAAAGUAGCAAUACUUUGGUGGCGACUGGCGCACGGGUGAGUAACGCGUAUGCAACCUACCUAUCAGAGGGGAAUAACCCGGCGAAAGUCGGACUAAUACCGCAUAAAACAGGGGCACCGCAUGGUGAUAUUUGUUAAAGAAAUUCGCUGAUAGAUGGGCAUGCGUUCCAUUAGGUAGUUGGUGAGGUAACGGCUCACCAAGCCGACGAUGGAUAGGGGAACUGCGAGGUUGGUCCCCCACACUGGUACUGAGACACGGACCAGACUCCUACGGGAGGCAGCAGUGAGGAAGAUUGGUCAAUGGGCGGGAGCCUGAACCAGCCAAGUCGCGUGAAGGAAGAAGGAUCUAUGGUUCGUAAACUUCUUUUGCAGGGGAAUAAAGUGCAGGACGUGUCCUGUUUUGUAUGUACCCUGAGAAUAAGGAUCGGCUAACUCCGUGCCAGCAGCCGCAGUAAGAC